rnacentral:tRNA from 1 species
GAGGCAUUGGACUUUGUCUUCGCAGGUUCGAAUCCUGUCUGUGACGGUUACAGUGGCCGAGUGGUUAAGGCGAUGCCCUGCUAU